CCAAUAGCGUAUAUUAAAGUUGUUGCAGUUAAAAAGCUCGUAGUUGAAUUUCGGGGUUAGUAGGUUGGUCAUGCCACUGGUAUGUACUGGUCUCACUGAUUCCUCCUUCCUGAUGAGCCGUAAUGCCAUUAAUUUGGUGUUGCGAGGAAUCUGGACUGUUACUUUGAAAAAAUUAGAGUGUUUAAAGCAGGCUAACGCUUGAAUACAUUAGCAUGGAAUAAUGAAAUAGGACGUUCGAUCUUAUUUUGUUGGUUUCUAAGAUUGACAUAAUGAUUAAUAGGGAUAGUUGGGGGCAUUAGUAUUCAAUUGUCAGAGGUGAAAUUCUUGGAUUUAUUGAAGACUAACUACUGCGAAAGCAUUUGCCAAGGAUGUUUUCAUUAAUCAAGAACGAAAGUUAGGGGAUCGAAGACGAUCAGAUACCGUCGUAGUCUUAACCAUAAACUAUGCCGACUAGGGAUCGGAUGAUGUUAAUUUUUUAAUGACUCAUUCGGCGCCUUACG
rnacentral:rRNA from 1 species